UACGAAGGAUCCAAGCGUUAUCCGGAUUCAUUGGGUUUAAAGGGUGCGUAGGCGGCCCUAUAAGUCAGUGGUGAAAUCUCUCGGCUCAACCGAGAAACUGCCAUUGAUACUGUGGGGCUAGAGUACAGAUGACGUUGGCGGAAUGUGUCAUGUAGCGGUGAAAUGCAUAGAUAUGACACAGAACACCGAUUGCGAAGGCAGCUGACGAAACUGUAACUGGCGCUGAUGCACGAAAGUGCGGGGAUCAAACAGG
rnacentral:rRNA from 1 species